GAUGAACGCUGGCGGCGUGCUUAACACAUGCAAGUCGAACGGGAAACUUUUCAUUGAAGCUUCGGCAGAUUUGGUCUGUUUCUAGUGGCGGACGGGUGAGUAACGCGUGGGUAACCUGCCUUAUACAGGGGGAUAACAACCAGAAAUGGUUGCUAAUACCGCAUAAGCGCACAGGACCGCAUGGUCCGGUGUGAAAAACUCCGGUGGUAUAAGAUGGACCCGCGUUGGAUUAGCUAGUUGGCAGGGGAACGGCCUACCAAGGCGACGAUCCAUAGCCGGCCGGAGAGGGUCAACGGCCACAUUGGGACUGGGACACGGCCCAGACUCCUACGGGAGGCAGCAGUGGGGAAUAUUGCACAAUGGGGGAAACCCUGACGCAGCGACGCCGCGUGAAGGAAGAAGUAUCUCGGUAUGUAAACUUCUAUCAGCAGGGAAGAUAGUGACGGUACCUGACUAAGAAGCCCCGGCUAACUACGUGCCAGCAGCCGCGGUAA
rnacentral:rRNA from 1 species